UACAGAGGGGGCAAGCGUUAUUCGGAAUUACUGGGCGUAAAGGGCGCGUAGGCGGUCCGAUAAGUCCUGUGUGAAAUCCCUCGGCUCAACUGAGGAACUGCACGGGAGACUGCCGGGCUUGAGUUCGGGAGAGGGAAGCGGAAUUCCGGGUGUAGCGGUGAAAUGCGUAGAUAUCCGGAGGAACACCGGUGGCGAAGGCGGCUUCCUGGACCGACACUGACGCUGAGGCGCGAAAGCUAGGGGAGCAAACGGG
rnacentral:rRNA from 1 species